rnacentral:rRNA from 1 species
AGAGUUUGAUCAUGGCUCAGGAUGAACGCUAGCUACAGGCUUAACACAUGCAAGUCGAGGGGGAAACGACAUCGAAAGCUUGCUUUUGAUGGGCGUCGACCGGCGCACGGGUGAGUAACGCGUAUCCAACCUGCCCAUCACUUGGGGAUAACCUUGCGAAAGUAAGACUAAUACCCAAUGAUAUCUCUAGAAGACAUCUGAAAGAGAUUAAAGAUUUAUCGGUGAUGGAUGGGGAUGCGUCUGAUUAGCUUGUUGGCGGGGUAACGGCCACCAAGGCUACGAUCGAGUAGGGGUUCUGAGAGGAACGGUCCCCCAUAUGGAACUGACGACACGGUCCAAACUCUUACGGGAGGCA